rnacentral:lncRNA from 1 species
GAGAUUUUGUGAGGCAUGGAGAGUAGCCCAAGGUCGAAUCUCCAUUGGAAGAGAUCGAAGAAUGUUGGCAUUAUUCUUCUUGCCUGGACUUUGAUGGGACGGUGAUUGUUGAUCGAUCAGGGUAGAACGACACGCACCUCGAGGGAGAUUCUCUAGAAGUAGUUUUGCUGGCUACAUGAAGAGGGCACAGUUUGAGGAGCAUG